CGGAUAGAGCCAGCGAAGUCGCUCGUAUUCAGCCAAAAGUCUGGGGUUGCCUCUCGUCGUGUUUCUAAUCGAGCACGGCGGUUUGUCUUCUCCGGAUUGAGGUGCAUUUGCGGGCGUUUGCGCUGAGACUUGCGAGGCAGCUGCGGGACCGGCGUUUAGAGGCUUCCCAUUGGGUCGAACCUGGGCGCCGUUACAGCUGUUUGCCUUGCUCGUACUGGUCUGGCCUACGGACCCUGCUCGUGCUGUUGUCAACUGGCCAAGGCAUCGCAUGCGAUGUCUAGCCUGGGGGCUGCAGCGCGGGUUGGUGUCCCCGGAUCGCCUCUCGGUGUAGAAGCUGGUCAUCUCUCCGACCCGUCUUGAAACACGGACCAAGGAGUUUAGCGUAUGCGCGAGUCAUUGGGUGUUAAAACGCACAGGCGCAAUGAAAGUGAAGGCUCGGUCGCCGGGCUGACAUGCGAGUGCCGCGGCUUCGGCCCAGGCAUGCAGCAUGGUCCCAUUGCAAUCGUUUACGAUACAGUGGAGACAGAGCGUAUGCGCUGAG
rnacentral:rRNA from 1 species